rnacentral:tRNA from 1 species
GGGGCGGAUGUAGCCAAGUGGAUUAAGGCAG